AAAAAGGGUGAAAAGAAUUGGUCAAAGCUGUCGGAAGCUCUAAUUGAAAGCAGCUGACCAUAAUUGACGCCUAAGUCCUCAAAGGAUUGGCAAUUAAUUUGGAUGGGAUUUUCGUAGCGAUAGUAGUACACUUUGCCGCGCCUAUCGAUUUAUCUCGUAUUUUCCAAGCUUUCGCGCGUGAAUCCAGUCGAGGAUUAAUCGUAUCGUCUCCAUUAUUGCCAUUUGAAUUUAAUUCCGACUGAUAUCGAGAUGUGGAUCGCAAUCUCGAAAGUAUCGCGCUUACUGUACGAGUCAAUGAAAACGAAUACUAUCCUAACGGUAUUAGAUAGAAAAAAAUCAAAAAAAAAAUCAAAAAAUAAAAAAGAAAUAGAAAAGAAUAAAAAAAAAAAGCAGGGUUUUCUAUUCGGUUCAUUGGGAAAGUUCGUGGAACGUUGAAAGAAAAACUCGUUUGUAUAAUGCGCGCGUGCGUGCUCGAACGGCGUAAAAACAAAAGAGCUUUUAAAGGAAAAACGAUCGGAAAGGUGGCCCCCUUACCAGGUGAUACACCUGAAGUCAUUAUCGCGAGUUUUACACAAAGUUAAAUACAAAUUUACGAAGAGACACGCCUUCCUUUUUUCAUCUGUCCCCACCACCACCUCUGUGUGAAGAUUCGACGGAAGCCACCCUUACGUUUACGUUAUUCCACGCAAAAGAAAAAAAAAGAAAAAGAAAAAGGAUAGUAGUACUCGGUUCUUCUUUACGUUAGUCCGAUCGGAUAGAUAAUAAGCAAGAGAGAAGUUAAACAAAAAGAAAACAAAAAACAGAAAAAUAUGAAAAGGAA
rnacentral:lncRNA from 1 species